UCGAGAAUCUUCCGCAAUGUGCGAAAGCAUGACGGAGCGACGCCGCGUGUAGGAUGAAGGCCUUCGGGUUGUAAACUACUGUCACCCGUUAAGAACGUUCGGACCAACCCUCCGAGCUGACGUUAGCGGGUAAGGAAGCCACGGCUAACUUCGUGCCAGCAGCCGCGGUAAGACGAAGGUGGCAACCGUUGCUCGGAUUCACUGGGCAUAAAGCGCGCGUAGGUGGCUCGGCAGGUCACUGGUGAAAUCCCACGGCUCAACCGUGGACCCGCCAGUGAAACCGCCUUGCUUGAGGACGAGAGGGGGGAAUGGAACUCUUGGUGUAGCGGUGAAAUGCGUAGAUAUCAAGAGGAACGCCGGUGGCGAAAGCGAUUCUCUGGAUCGUUCCUGACACUGAGGCGCGAAAGCUAGGGGAGCAAACAGGAUUAGAUACCCUGGUAGUCCUAGCUGUAAACGAUGAGCACUGGGUAGAGGUGGUAGCUGAUGCCUCCUCUGCCGUAGCUAAUGUGUUAAGUGCUCCGCCUGGGGAGUAUGGUCGCAAGGCUAA
rnacentral:rRNA from 1 species